rnacentral:rRNA from 1 species
AUUGAACGCUGGCGGCAUGCUUUACUCAUGCAAGUCGAACGGUAACAGGCCGCAAGGUGCUGACGAGUGGCGAACGGGUGAGUAAUGCAUCGGAACGUGCCCAGUCGUGGGGGAUAACGCAGCGAAAGCUGUGCUAAUACCGCAUACGAUCUAUGGAUGAAAGCGGGGGACCGUAAGGCCUCGCGCGAUUGGAGCGGCCGAUGUCAGAUUAGGUAGUUGGUGGGGUAAAGGCUCACCAAGCCAACGAUCUGUAGCUGGUCUGAGAGGACGACCAGCCACACUGGGACUGAGACACGGCCCAGUCUCCUACGGGAGGCAGCAGUGGGGAAUUUUGGACAAUGGGCGCAAGCCUGAUCCAGCAAUGCCGCGUGCAGGAAGAAGGCCUUCGGGUUGUAAACUGCUUUUGUACGGAACGAAACGGCGAGCUCUAAUACAGUUUGCUAAUGACGGUACCGUAAGAAUAAGCACCGGCUAACUACGUGUCAGCCGCCGCCGUAA